rnacentral:rRNA from 1 species
GACGAACGCUGGCGGCGUGCUUAACACAUGCAAGUCGAGCGGUAAGGCCCUUCGGGUACGACGAGCGGCGAACGGGUGAGUAACACGUGGGUGACCUGCCCUUACGCUCUGGGAUAAGCCUGGGAAACUAGGGUCUAAUACCGGAUAUGACCUCAUGACGCAUGUUGUGGGGUGGAAAGCCUUGUGCGGCUAGGGAUGGGCCCGCGGCCUAUCAGCUUGUUGGUGGGGUGAUGGCCACCAAGGCGACGACGGGUAGCCGGCCUGAGAGGGCGACCGGCCACACUGGGACUGAGACACGGCCCAGACUCCUACGGGAGGGCAGCAGUGGGGAAUCUUGCGCAAUGGG